GGAGUUGGUAUCUCAGUGGUGGAGUGCCUGAUCUGUAAGUAUGAGGUCCUGGGUUCAAUCCCCAGCUUCUCCC